UCUCCUAUGGUGCAGUGGUAGCAUGCUAGUCUGUCACGCUGGUGGCCCGGGUUCGAGUCCCGGUGGGAGAGC
rnacentral:tRNA from 2 species